AUCUCCGGGUGCACCACCAUCCUCGCCAUGAUCCACUCCAUCAGGAUCGCCACCGUGUCCGUCCCUCUAAAGAUCAUCUCCCAAAGGACGGCGAUCAUGUCGGACUCUGACAUCUUGUCUUCUCCGUCGAGGCCGAGGAGCACAUCGACGAAGUCGCCGGAGAGCUCAUCCGCAAUGCCUGACCCGCUGGCGCGCCUCGCCUUGUGCUCCUGAAUGAUGUUACCGACAUACGCCUCCACCUGCCGGACUAACCUGUUGCACCGGUGGCGCACGCCCUGGAGAUCGAGCCACUUGAGGAAUGGCAGGUGAUCUGCCCAGUUGAACGUGCCGAGGAGGUCGUACCCUUCGUUUACCAUCUCCUCCACGAGGGCGCCUUCUUGGCUUGUGAAGUCGUCGUAG
rnacentral:rRNA from 1 species